rnacentral:lncRNA from 1 species
UCUAGAAUUACCCUGAGAAGCUUACAAGCAUCCUCUCAAGACAGAGCUGUAAAGCCCUUCUGGGAGGGUAAUUACUUGGCCCAAUAGAGAGGACACUGUCAUUAAUACUCAGCUGGUCCAACGCUGUCCCAAAUCCCUGGCUGGGUUCAGGGAUAAGCCUUAAAACCAGAGUGGAGGCUGUAUCCCUAAAAGGAAACAAAGCUCUGUCUUCAGCCAGACACAGACAUUCAGGUGCAACAUUGCCUGUACUUUUAUGUUGCUGUGAGCCCUACAUCAAAAAGAGAAUGAAAGCUGAUCUAUUUACUCCUGGCAGAGAAGAAAGGAGGAAGGACGUCCAGGUGCUACCAGAAAACCAUUUGUGAGGACAUGGACCAGUGCCAAGGUCACAGCCCACCUGAAUAGAACUUGAAAUCCAGGCACACCCAGUCCAGGGGAGCCCUGAGUUCUUCCUGAACUUAAACACUGGGUUUAAAAAAAAAAAAACAGUCACAGGUGCGGGGACACUGGUCCCCUGCCUGCUGCGAAGUAGAUAACGCGAGGACAGCCUCAAAACAACUCCAGACGCUUCGGGUGCCUGAGCCUCACUCGGUGGGGGCGGCGCAGAGGUCCACGUGCAGUACGCGAGCUGGGGAGGUGCGGGAGCCCGCGCUCUGCCCGUGCGCCGCCGACCCACUCACUGCCGCUCGGGGCUUUGGGUUCCCCCCAUGCAAAAGGAGGACCAUGCUAUGUCAUCAAGGGCUGAUGCGAAGAAGAACCCAGAAGCAGGCGUCAAUAAGUAACGAAAGAAUGGGGGUAGCCGUGCCUAAUAUCGUUGCUGCCGUGGCAAUUACUGCAACGGAGGCUUGAGAGUUAGGGCGCCAGAAACGCAAACUUUCCAGGGGACCAAACUCAUCCAAGCCUCCUAAGGGGCCUGUGGAGACCUCUGCCCGCUCUGGGCCCCGCCGCCGUCCGCGGUCCGCGCCACCUUUCCCGCGGCUGGCUCCAGGC